rnacentral:rRNA from 1 species
UACGUAGGGUGCGAGCGUUAAUCGGAAUUACUGGGCGUAAAGCGUGCGCAGGCGGUUUUGUAAGCCCGGUGUGAAAUCCCCGGGCUCAACCUGGGAAUGGCAUUUGGGACUGCAAGGCUGGAGUGCGGCAGAGGAGACUGGAAUUCCUGGUGUAGCAGUGAAAUGCGUAGAUAUCAGGAAGAACACCGAUGGCGAAGGCAGGUCUCUGGGCUGACACUGACGCUCAUGCACGAAAGCGUGGGGAGCAAACAGG